GACGAACGCUGGCGGCGUGCCUAAUACAUGCAAGUAGAACGCUGAAGGAGGAGCUUGCUUCUCUGGAUGAGUUGCGAACGGGUGAGUAACGCGUAGGUAACCUGCCUGGUAGCGGGGGAUAACUAUUGGAAACGAUAGCUAAUACCGCAUAAGAGUAGAUGUUGCAUGACAUUUGCUUAAAAGGUGCAAUUGCAUCACUACCAGAUGGACCUGCGUUGUAUUAACUAGUUGGUGAGGUAACGGCUCACCAAGGCAACGAUACAUAGCCGACCUGAGAGGGUGAUCGGCCACACUGGGACUGAGACACGGCCCAGACUCCUACGGGAGGCAGCAGUAGGGAAUCUUCGGCAAUGGACGGAAGUCUGACCGAGCAACGCCGCGUGAGUGAAGAAGGUUUUCGGAUCGUAAAGCUCUGUUGUAAGAGAAGAACGAGUGUGAGAGUGGAAAGUUCACACUGUGACGGUAUCUUACCAGAAAGAGACGGCUAACUACGUG
rnacentral:rRNA from 1 species